GUUUGAGAGGGCAGAAUUUCUGAGCACAGAUCUGAGCCAGUCUCAGAGUCAAAGUCUCCAGGGAUUGUACGCCAGGGGAGCUGGUCCUCCCAUCCCUAGCUCACCCUCAAGAUGGCCUGGAAAAUGCUUUCAAAAUCAGGCUGUGCAUCUGGAAAGUUCUUGAGCUAGCUACCUGACCCAGAGGCUGUCACCCCACAGUGAAAACCUGAGACCAGUUAUUCCUCAUUCCUGUUCUUCCCUAUGGCCAGAACGACGUGACUGAAACUGCCAAGUUCUGCUGCUUACUGGGGCUGGAGCAUGGUCCUCUCAUUCAAUUACAUCUUCAUCAGCUUUCUACUUUUGAUCUUCACUGCCAAAGUUUGGCUGUCUUCAACCUGCAUCUCUAGACAACUCUGGCCUCAAACUCAGAGAUCUGCCAGCCUCAGCCUUCUCAGUGCUGAAAUUAAAGAGAGAAUGCUCCCUACUUUCUCCUGGAAAAGAAUUGCAGCAAUGCACAAAGGAAAAUGGACACCUGCCCUAUCCCCAUGCACUCAUGGGGCUUAUGUUCCACACUUCAGGUUCUACUGAGACUUCCAAUAGAGGUAGCAACUAUAUAGCAAGAACUUCAGAGUGAAAAAUUAAUCUCCACAUCUCUUACCACACAUCUUCCUGAAGGAUCUAACCAAGAGCAGCUAACUGCAAGGAAAAUGUUGGGGGCCCAUUUGAUCUGAGAGGUCUACGCUGCCACCCAGGAUGCUGAUGACAACUGGACCCAAGCUGCUGCUGCUGGCCAUGUCUGUAUCCAUGGUCCUGAUGUGGCUGGGGUCUGUGUUGAUGUCUGUUACCUGUGUUACCACAGGGGACUUGCAAACCAUGUAUUGAACUGCUUGUUGAAUUACAAGGGCCAUGCUGAGCUGGUCCUACCUGUCACUGGCCCAGCGAGAUCCAGUUGCCUCCUCACCGGUGAGCCAACCAUACACCCCCAGCAUUGGUCCCACCUCACAUAGGAGAGCCUCCCACACUUGAGAAAGCUGGACCCACCCCUCACUACCAGCACUGAAGAGCUGGCUCCGCCCCUCACCUGAGGAGGAUGGUCCCAGCAGCCUGGACUGACCAACUCAGCUACCACGUAGGCAUGUUUCCAGGGCUCUGAGUUGGCACUCUCCAACAUCUACCCCCUCUAUGACCUGCUGGAGUGUGUGAAGGGUCUGGUCCUUCGUAACCAUAGCCACAGGAUCUCCAUGACUUCAGGCAACUGCAGGGUAUCAUAGAGGAGAUUCAGCGAGGGUCCAGUAUUGAUAGUGUACAAGAAGCCAGAGGCCUUGAACCUGACCAACAACACACUACAUAAUGAAUAUUUGCAAGUAAAGCUGUUUGGACAAAAGGGUAUACUACAUGAUAACACCGUAUCUCCCAAUGCCACUGAGAGGAAUGAAGAGGCAAUAGAGAGGCAGGAAAGAUAGAGGAGUGAAGUGUUUCUUUUUGUUGUUGUUGUUUUGUUUUCUUGAGACAGGGUUUCUCUGUAUUGCUUUGGAGGUUGUCCUGAACUCACUCUGUAGACCAGACUGGCCUUCAACAGUCUGCCUGCCUCUGCCUCCCGAGUGCUGGGGAUUAAAGGCAUAGGUCACCAACGCCCCCGACUGCUUUUUUGUUUAUUUGCUUUUUGUUUUUUGUUUAUCUUAAUUAACAUUUCUUAUUUGCAUUUUUUUAAUUUCGAUUUAAUUUUAUUCUAUUUAUUUUUAGUUUUCCUUUGCAGGGGCAAUACUACAAAAGUGAAGGGUAGAUGGAGA
rnacentral:lncRNA from 1 species